rnacentral:rRNA from 1 species
AUUGAACGCUGGCGGCAUGCCUUACACAUGCAAGUCGAACGGUAACGCGGGGCAACCUGGCGACGAGUGGCGAACGGGUGAGUAAUGCAUCGGAACGUGCCCAGUAGUGGGGGAUAGCCCGGCGAAAGCCGGAUUAAUACCGCAUACGACCUACGGGUGAAAGCGGGGGACCGGUAAGGCCUCGCGCUAUUGGAGCGGCCGAUGUCAGAUUAGGUAGUUGGUGGGGUAAAGGGCCUACCAAGCCUUCGAUCUGUAGCUGGUCUGAGAGGACGGACCAGCCACACUGGGACGUGAGACACGGCCCACGACUCCUACGGGAGGGCAGCAGUGGGGGAAGUUUUGGUACGAAUAGGGCGGCAAGACCUCGAUCCA